GGUUAAGCGACUAAGCGUACACGGUGGAUGCCCUGGCAGUCAGAGGCGAUGAAGGACGUGCUAAUCUGCGAUAAGCGUCGGUAAGGUGAUAUGAACCGUUAUAACCGGCGAUUUCCGAAUGGGGAAACCCAGUGUGAUUCGUCACACUAUCAUUAACUGAAUCCAUAGGUUAAUGAGGCGAACCGGGGGAACUGAAACAUCUAAGUACCCCGAGGAAAAGAAAUCAACCGAGAUUCCCCCAGUAGCGGCGAGCGAACGGGGAGCAGCCCAGAGCCUGAAUCAGUGUGUGUGUUAGUGGAAGCGUCUGGAAAGGCGUGCGAUACAGGGUGACAGCCCCGUACACAAAAAUGCACAUACUGUGAGCUCGAUGAGUAGGGCGGGACACGUGGUAUCCUGUCUGAAUAUGGGGGGACCAUCCUCCAAGGCUAAAUACUCCUGACUGACCGAUAGUGAACCAGUACCGUGAGGGAAAGGCGAAAAGAACCCCGGCGAGGGGAGUGAAAAAGAACCUGAAACCGUGUACGUACAAGCAGUGGGAGCACGCUUAGGCGUGUGACUGCGUACCUUUUGUAUAAUGGGUCAGCGACUUAUAUUCUGUAGCAAGGUUAACCGAAUAGGGGAGCCGAAGGGAAACCGAGUCUUAACUGGGCGUUAAGUUGCAGGGUAUAGACCCGAAACCCGGUGAUCUAGCCAUGGGCAGGUUGAAGGUUGGGUAACACUAACUGGAGGACCGAACCGACUAAUGUUGAAAAAUUAGCGGAUGACUUGUGGCUGGGGGUGAAAGGCCAAUCAAACCGGGAGAUAGCUGGUUCUCCCCGAAAGCUAUUUAGGUAGCGCCUCGUGAAUUCAUCUCCGGGGGUAGAGCACUGUUUCGGCAAGGGGGUCAUCCCGACUUACCAACCCGAUGCAAACUGCGAAUACCGGAGAAUGUUAUCACGGGAGACACACGGCGGGUGCUAACGUCCGUCGUGAAGAGGGAAACAACCCAGACCGCCAGCUAAGGUCCCAAAGUCAUGGUUAAGUGGGAAACGAUGUGGGAAGGCCCAGACAGCCAGGAUGUUGGCUUAGAAGCAGCCAUCAUUUAAAGAAAGCGUAAUAGCUCACUGGUCGAGUCGGCCUGCGCGGAAGAUGUAACGGGGCUAAACCAUGCACCGAAGCUGCGGCAGCGACGCUUAUGCGUUGUUGGGUAGGGGAGCGUUCUGUAAGCCUGUGAAGGUGUGCUGUGAGGUAUGCUGGAGGUAUCAGAAGUGCGAAUGCUGACAUAAGUAACGAUAAAGCGGGUGAAAAGCCCGCUCGCCGGAAGACCAAGGGUUCCUGUCCAACGUUAAUCGGGGCAGGGUGAGUCGACCCCUAAGGCGAGGCCGAAAGGCGUAGUCGAUGGGAAACAGGUUAAUAUUCCUGUACUUGGUGUUACUGCGAAGGGGGGACGGAGAAGGCUAUGUUGGCCGGGCGACGGUUGUCCCGGUUUAAGCGUGUAGGCUGGUUUUCCAGGCAAAUCCGGAAAAUCAAGGCCGAGGCGUGAUGACGAGGCACUACGGUGCUGAAGCAACAAAUGCCCUGCUUCCAGGAAAAGCCUCUAAGCAUCAGGUAACAUCAAAUCGUACCCCAAACCGACACAGGUGGUCAGGUAGAGAAUACCAAGGCGCUUGAGAGAACUCGGGUGAAGGAACUAGGCAAAAUGGUGCCGUAACUUCGGGAGAAGGCACGCUGAUACGUAGGUGAAGCGACUUGCUCGUGGAGCUGAAAUCAGUCGAAGAUACCAGCUGGCUGCAACUGUUUAUUAAAAACACAGCACUGUGCAAACACGAAAGUGGACGUAUACGGUGUGACGCCUGCCCGGUGCCGGAAGGUUAAUUGAUGGGGUUAGCGCAAGCGAAGCUCUUGAUCGAAGCCCCGGUAAACGGCGGCCGUAACUAUAACGGUCCUAAGGUAGCGAAAUUCCUUGUCGGGUAAGUUCCGACCUGCACGAAUGGCGUAAUGAUGGCCAGGCUGUCUCCACCCGAGACUCAGUGAAAUUGAACUCGCUGUGAAGAUGCAGUGUACCCGCGGCAAGACGGAAAGACCCCGUGAACCUUUACUAUAGCUUGACACUGAACAUUGAGCCUUGAUGUGUAGGAUAGGUGGGAGGCUUUGAAGUGUGGACGCCAGUCUGCAUGGAGCCGACCUUGAAAUACCACCCUUUAAUGUUUGAUGUUCUAACGUGGACCCGUGAUCCGGGUUGCGGACAGUGUCUGGUGGGUAGUUUGACUGGGGCGGUCUCCUCCUAAAGAGUAACGGAGGAGCACGAAGGUUGGCUAAUCCUGGUCGGACAUCAGGAGGUUAGUGCAAUGGCAUAAGCCAGCUUGACUGCGAGCGUGACGGCGCGAGCAGGUGCGAAAGCAGGUCAUAGUGAUCCGGUGGUUCUGAAUGGAAGGGCCAUCGCUCAACGGAUAAAAGGUACUCCGGGGAUAACAGGCUGAUACCGCCCAAGAGUUCAUAUCGACGGCGGUGUUUGGCACCUCGAUGUCGGCUCAUCACAUCCUGGGGCUGAAGUAGGUCCCAAGGGUAUGGCUGUUCGCCAUUUAAAGUGGUACGCGAGCUGGGUUUAGAACGUCGUGAGACAGUUCGGUCCCUAUCUGCCGUGGGCGCUGGAGAACUGAGGGGGGCUGCUCCUAGUACGAGAGGACCGGAGUGGACGCAUCACUGGUGUUCGGGUUGUCAUGCCAAUGGCACUGCCCGGUAGCUAAAUGCGGAAGAGAUAAGUGCUGAAAGCAUCUAAGCACGAAACUUGCCCCGAGAUGAGUUCUCCCUGACUCCUUGAGAGUCCUGAAGGAACGUUGAAGACGACGACGUUGAUAGGCCGGGUGUGUAAGCGCAGCGAUGCGUUGAGCUAACCGGUACUAAUGAACCGUGAGGCUUAACCUU
rnacentral:rRNA from 1 species